rnacentral:rRNA from 1 species
UACGUAGGGUCCGAGCGUUGUCCGGAUUUAUUGGGCGUAAAGAGCUCGUAGGCGGUUCCGUAAGUCAGAUGUGAAAACUCAGGGCUCAACCCGGAGACGCCAUCUGAUACUGCGGUGACUGGAGUCUGGUAGGGGAUCACGGAAUACCUGGUGUAGCGGUGAAAUGCGCAGAUAUCAGGUGGAACACCGAUGGCGAAGGCAGUGAUCUGGGACAGUACUGACGCUGAGGAGCGAAAGCGUGGGGAGCAAACAGG